rnacentral:rRNA from 1 species
CUACCCAGAAAGGGACGGCUAACUACGUGCCAGCAGCCGCGGUAAUACGUAGGUCCCGAGCGUUGUCCGGAUUUAUUGGGCGUAAAGCGAGCGCAGGUGGUUUAUUAAGUCUGGUGUAAAAGGCAGUGGCUCAACCAUUGUAUGCAUUGGAAACUGGUAGACUUGAGUGCAGGAGAGGAGAGUGGAAUUCCAUGUGUAGCGGUGAAAUGCGUAGAUAUAUGGAGGAACACCGGUGGCGAAAGCGGCUCUCUGGCCUGUAACUGACACUGAGGCUCGAAAGCGUGGGGAGCAAA